GAUGAACGCUGGCGGCGUGCCUAAUACAUGCAAGUCGAGCGAACAGACGAGGAGCUUGCUCCUCUGACGUUAGCGGCGGACGGGUGAGUAACACGUGGAUAACCUACCUAUAAGACUGGGAUAACUUCGGGAAACCGGAGCUAAUACCGGAUAAUAUAUUGAACCGCAUGGUUCAAUAGUGAAAGACGGUUUUGCUGUCACUUAUAGAUGGAUCCGCGCCGCAUUAGCUAGUUGGUAAGGUAACGGCUUACCAAGGCAACGAUGCGUAGCCGACCUGAGAGGGUGAUCGCCCACACUGGAACUGAGACACGGUCCAGACUCCUAAGGGAGGCAGCAGUAGGGAAUCUUCCGCAAUGGGCGAAAGCCUGACGGAGCAACGCCGCGUGAGUGAUGAAGGUCUUCGGAUCGUAAAACUCUGUUAUUAGGGAAGAACAAAUGUGUAAGUAACUAUGCACGUCUUGACGGUACCUAAUCAGAAAGCCACGGCUAACUACGUG
rnacentral:rRNA from 1 species